CCGCCCGCGAGAGGCCGCGUCGUCCGUCGUAAAAAGCCACUCCCGGUAACAGACAGUUUCGCCGGCCGGUGCCGGGGAAACAGCUGUUUCUGGUUAAGCUUAAAUACUUUCCAACAGUUUGGGCAGUAAAAAUAAAGUCGGCCUCCGCCGCCUGGGCAUCUUCUGGGGUAAACAAGACAAAGUUUCAAGAACCAGAACCUUCAACUUCGCAUCCCACCCCCAGGUCCGCGGGCGGGUCCGCGUGCGCCGCGUCUGCAGUAAAUAAGAAAUGCUGCCGCCCGCCCCCCUCGGGACACCUGCUUCCUAACCCCUCGGCCUCCUGCCCCUUUUUGCACCGAUUCUGGUGACCCGGACCCUGGACCCACAACUUCUUCGCUUCCCAACAAAGGGCCUCCAACCUGCUCCCCACCGCCUGGGAGCCAGCCCCAGCCCUGGGCCCCGGUCCCUGCCAGGUGCCCUGCUCUGCUCCCUGCCCAGCCUCA